AUGGCCCAGCCAGCAGAUCUGUCAUCAGGCGCUGCUGGGUCUAGUGAGGCAGGAGGAGUUAAGACGGACGAGGCAGGGAGCACGGAGGUAGGGAGAGGAGAGACAGAGGCAGGUAGAGGAGGCACAGAGGCAGCGAGAGAAGGCACAGAGGCAGCGAGAGGAGGAGACACAGAGGCAGCGAGAGGAGGAGAGACAGAGGCAGCGAGAGGAGGAGACACAGAGGCAGCGAGAGGAGGAGAGACAGAGGCAGCGAGAGGAGGAGAGACAGAGGCAGCGAGAGGAGGAGAGACAGAGGCAGCGAGAGGAGGAGACACAGAGGCAGCGAGAGGAGGAGACACAGAGGCAGGGGCAGUCAACGCAGAGGCAGGGAGAGGAGACGCAGAAGCAGGAGAGGGAGUGCAGUGCUGCCUGUGCAACCUGCAUGUGGAGGGAGACCGGUUCACCCAGCACCUGUCGGACCACCACACGGAGGAGCAGUGUGAUACCUGUGGGGCAAAGGUGCAGGGUACUGUUGGUCUUUUGAACCACAUCCAAGUGGUUCACUAUGCCUUCAGGGUACCAUCAAAGCCGUCUCUGCCCCCUUCUUCAUCCUGCUCUGCCGCGCCACACCACACGGCAGCUCCACCACCUGCAGCACACUUCAGGGUACCAUCAAAGCCGUCUCUGCCCCCUUCUUCAUCCUGCUCUGCCGCGCCACACCACACGGCAGCUCCACCACCUGCAGCACACUUCAGGGUACCAUCAAAGCCGUCUCUGCCCCCUUCUUCAUCCUGCUCUGCCGCGCCACACCACACGGCAGCUCCACCACCUGCAGCACAGAGGGUCAACUGGAAAGGUUUCCUGCCUGACCAGUUCAGAAGGGUGAUCCAGGAAGCCGAUCAGGUCUGGGUUUCCAAAUGCUUGUAUGAGCCUACAGGCCAACUAAAGCAAAAGAUCCAGGCCUGCUGGUUUCACCCUCCACUGGAGCCCAAACCAUCACCUCCUGAGCCUGGCUGGUACUUCCGGCAGAGGCUGUUUAUCUGGGCACCGAUGAGGAUGUGGGGGAUCCCCUCAAAGUGCCCCCAGUGUUCCUCAAAGAUGAACAGCUCCGGGAUUUACCGGAAGGUAAGGGAGGUGAUCGACGUGGAUAGCCGCUAUUAUCUUGUGGGAGCGGACUAUCCACGUUGCUGCAGGUGCUCGCAGCCGGUCUGCCCAUAG
rnacentral:lncRNA from 1 species